rnacentral:rRNA from 1 species
AUUGAACGCUGGCGGCAGGCUUAACACAUGCAAGUCGGACGAGUGGCGGACGGGUGAGUAAUGCUUGGGCAUCUAGCUUAUGUAGGGGGAUAACUACGGGAAACCGUAGCUAAUACCGCGUACCAUAGGAUCAGCCCACGGGGGAUUAGGUAGUUGGUGUGGUAAAGGCUCACCAAGCCGACGAUCUCUAGCUGGUCUGAGAGGAUGACCAGCCACACUGGGACUGAGACACGGCCCAGACUCCUACGGGAGGCAGCAGUGGGGAAUAUUGCGCAAUGGGGGCAACCUGACGCAGCAAUGCCGCGUGAAUGAAGAAGGCCUUCGGGUUGUAAAGUUCUUUCGGUAGCGAGGCGUUAACUACAGAAGAAGCACCGGCUAACUCCGUGCCAGCAGCCGCGGUAAUAC